rnacentral:rRNA from 1 species
AGCGGCGGACGGGUGAGUUGGGCGGGGGUAACCUGCCCUGUACACACGGAUAACAUACCGAAAGGUAUGCUAAUACGAGAUAAUAUACUUUUAUCGCAUGGUAGAAGUAUCAAAGCUUUUGCGGUACAGGAUGGACCCGCGUCUGAUUAGCUAGUUGGUAAGGUAACGGCUUGCCAAGGCGACGAUCAGUAGCCGACCUGAGAGGGUGAUCGGCCACAUUGGAACUGAGACACGGUCCAAACUCCUACGGGAGGCAGCAGUGGGGAAUAUUGCACAAUGGGCGAAAGCCUGAUGCAGCAACGCCGCGUGAGCGAUGAAGGCCUUCGGGUCGUAAAGCUCUGUCCUCAAGGAAGAUAAUGACGGUACUUGAGGAGGAAGCCCCGGCUAACUACGUGCCAGCAGCCGCGGUAAUACGUAGGGGGCUAGCGUUAUCCGGAAUUACUGGGCGUAAAGGGUGCGUAGGUGGUUUCUUAAGUCAGAGGUGAAAGGCUACGGCUCAACCGUAGUAAGCCUUUGAAACUGGGAAACUUGAGUGCAGGAGAGGAGAGUGGAAUUCCUAGUGUAGCGGUGAAAUGCGUAGAUAUUAGGAGGAACACCAGUUGCGAAGGCGGCUCUCUGGACUGUAACUGACACUGAGGCACGAAAGCGUGGGGAGCAAACAGGAUUAGAUACCCUGGUAGUCCACGCCGUAAACGAUGAGUACUAGCUGU